rnacentral:rRNA from 1 species
AACGAACGCUGGCGGCAUGCCUAACACAUGCAAGUCGAACGAGAUCUUCGGGUCUAGUGGCGCACGGGUGCGUAACGCGUGGGAAUCUGCCCUUUGGUUCGGAAUAACAGUUGGAAACGACUGCUAAUACCGGAUGAUGACGAAAGUCCAAAGAUUUAUCGCCAGAGGAUGAGCCCGCGUAGGAUUAGCUAGUUGGUGUGGUAAAGGCGCACCAAGGCGACGAUCCUUAGCUGGUCUGAGAGGAUGAUCAGCCACACUGGGACUGAGACACGGCCCAGACUCCUACGGGAGGCAGCAGUGGGGAAUAUUGACAAUGGGCGAAAGCCUGAUCCAGCAAUGCCGCGUGAGUGAUGAAGGCCUUAGGGUUGUAAAGCUCUUUUACCCGGGACGAUAAUGACAGUACCGGGAGAAUAAGCUCCGGCUAACUCCGUGCCAGCAGCCGCAGUAA